UGAGGAAUAUUGGUCAAUGGGCGAGAGCCUGAACCAGCCAAGUCGCGUGAGGGAUGACGGCCCUACGGGUUGUAAACCUCUUUUAUAAGGGAAUAAAGGACAUCACGUGUGGUGUUUUGCAUGUACCUUAUGAAUAAGCAUCGGCUAACUCCGUGCCAGCAGCCGCGGUAAUACGGAGGAUGCGAGCGUUAUCCGGAUUCAUUGGGUUUAAAGGGUGCGUAGGUUGCCGAUUAAGUCAGCGGUGAAAGUCAGUGGCUCAACCAUUGAACUGCCGUUGAAACUGGUUGGCUUGAGUACGUACGGGGCAGGCGGAAUGCGUGGUGUAGCGGUGAAAUGCGUAGAUAUCAGGAGGAACAUCAGUGGCGAAGGCGGCUUACUGGGCUUUAACUGACGCUGAGGCUCGAAAGC
rnacentral:rRNA from 1 species